UAUUAUUCCCUAAUCGGUUUAAAGGUUUUGAUCUAUGCUUAUACUUGAAUUGCUAUGGUUGAAUAUAAUGCAGAUACUUCUUUCAUGUGAAUUGGAGUCUAGAGGAAUUAUCUGCUCCUCAACCAAAUAUGUGAUGGCUUGAUCUAGUUUUGUUUUUCACAUGGGCAUUUUUCAUGAAAUUUUUGUGAGGCUUUAUUCAUGUUAACUAAAUGCAAGAGGUUAAUAUUCAGAUAUGAUGAUCUUUUGGGAAUCUAAAAUCAUUAGCUACUAUCAGAUUUAUUUGAAGUCAUUGAUCGAAGAGCAAAGCUAGUUGUGAGUGAGUUGUCAGAUGAGUAGACCAUACAGCCACCAGGUAUGCAUCCCAAUGCAUUUAAUGGUUUUCUAUUUGACAAUGUGUUUUGUUUGUACCUGGAGGGGGAACACCUUUGUUUUGAGCAUUUACACAUGCUUUUCAUGGAUUUUAAUUUUAAUUUUUAAUUUUUAAUUAUUUUUUUAUUGGUUGUCUGCUACUUAACUUUUCGUCGUUUUCUUCUGGCAACAAAUAAGCUUCCAAUGGUAAAGAAACUCAAGCCAAGAGGGAGAAAUCAAAGGAGAAGGGUCAGUUGACACUCUCCAUUGCUGAACCACCUAAUCUUACAACAAGUGUGACAUCUGAUAAAGAUGAAGAUGCCCCAUCUGAAAAUGCUGCUGCCAUUUCCAGUAAUUUUACAGACCAAAAAAGUACAGAUGUUUUUGGCGAGUUGUGGAAAUUGAAGCUAUUUCCUAAAGAAAGGAAGUGUCAUUAUCAGUCAUCAGAUUUGACGCCACUCGUGCAAGACUUUAAUCAAUUGUGCCUAAAUUUAGGCCUACAAGCACUUCAGCCUUUUGAUGCCACUCGUGCUAAGGAGUAGACCAUAUAGAGGAUUUGUUAUUUAUUUAUUUAUAUUCAAGACCAUUUUCAAUUUAUUGUAAUAAAUAUUAUAUUUUUUUAUUGUAUAGUAAUAUAAAUUUUGUUUAAUA